CACGUAGGGUGCGAGCGUUGUCCGGAAUUAUUGGGCGUAAAGAGCUCGUAAGCGGUGUGUCGCGUCGGCCGUGAAAACCUGCAGCUUAACUGUGGGCUUGCGGUCGAUACGGGCAUCACUGGAGUUCGGCAGGGGAGACUGGAAUUCCUGGUGUAGCGGUGAAAUGCGCAGAUAUCAGGAGGAACACCGGUGGCGAAGGCGGCAUCCUGGACCGAUACUGACGCUGAGGAGCGAAAGCAUGGGUAGCGAACAGG
rnacentral:rRNA from 1 species